UGGAGGUACGCCAUGUGCGACUGACGUGUUUUCCGUUUGCUCCCGCAGUAUUCUUAAAGUUUAUGUGAAUUUUGCAGCAGAACUGUAUUUGUUUUCAAAUAUUAGUUUGGUGAUCCCUUUCCGUAAAAACCAAGACUACUUUGCUUUCGAAUGUCAGCAUGUCGACGAAACAUACGGCCAAAAACCUGACUUUGAGAAAACCCGGCCUACAAGACCCACUCUCAUCACCGCCCUCUCCUGAGUCUGAAGGCCCGGGGACUCACACUUUACCCGGGGGUGCGGAUUGGCCUGGCGGCGCUGAAAUGAACAUUCUUCGAGGCCAUCAAGCUACUACGCACUGAGAUAGUUGAAAUGAAAACGGAGGUAGUUGCUACGAUUGAGGCCCGAAUACAGGAGGUUUCUGAUACUUUAAAAGCAGAUUUACAUUUUAGUCAUUUAGCAGGCAUUCUUAUCCAGAGCAACUUACAGUAGUGAAUGCAUACAUUUCAUUCAUUCAUUGUUUUUUUUUUUGUACUGGCCCCCCGUGGGAAUUGAACCCACAACCCUGGCGUUGCAACGCCAGCAUGGUGUGUGCAAACACAAGAAUUGCCGUCUAACCAUCCUGCGAAAGGAGACGGUGCCAGCAAUCACAUCACUCAAAACAACAACAGAGUUGCACACUACAACGAUUGCAGCACUGGAGACCUCCGCUACCAAUGUCUCCGACUUAACUACCUCUCUGGAGGCUGAUGUGAAACGCCUGGAUGCGGAUUUGGAAAAGGUGCAGGAGAGUUGUGAGUUUAGAGGGAUUCUCUUGCCGCAAUAACCUGAGACUGGUAUCGGUCCCAGAGUCAGUGGAAGUGCCACGGAUUUAAUUUCUGGGCUGCUGAAGGAUGCUCUUGCCUUGGAUGAGAAGUCCCUGAUUGAUCGUGCCCACCGGUUGCUGCGCCCAAAGUCCCGGGAUGGUGAGAGGCCCUGUGACAUAAUUCUUCGAGUGCACUUUUUCCAUGAGAAGAUGGAGAUUCUCAGACGAGCCCGUCUGAAUACCACUCAAUACCACUCUGAGCUUUCAAGGACAGAGCUUCUCUAUCUACCAGGACUACUCCCCCACUGUUUCCAGGCAGCGCGCAGCUUUUGGGCAGGCCAAACGACUACUACAGGACCAUCCAGGUGUGAAGUAUGGACUGCGAUUCCCGGCCCGUUAAUGGCUAUCUCAUGAUGAUUCCCAUUUGUUGAUUUUAGGGGGGGAUUUCAACUGUACAAUGUCCCCAGUUCUUGACAAGUCCUCACG
rnacentral:lncRNA from 1 species